GUGUGCCCUAGAGUUCCCCUGAGCACUUCAUUAGGAAUUAAAUAUCAACUUUAAGUUGCAUAUAUAUCAAUUAUCCUACUGAAGUGUUUGGGGGAACUCCCGGUGGCAU
rfam:Morus notabilis contig10628, whole genome shotgun sequence.